UUAACGGUAGCUUAAUAGAAAGCAUGGGAUUCUUAGUUCCAGGAUGUUUAGUUUAAUUUUAACUCGUUAAG
rnacentral:tRNA from 1 species